rnacentral:rRNA from 1 species
UUAUGAGAGUUUGAUCCUGGCUCAGGACGAACGCUGGCGGCGUGCCUAAUACAUGCAAGUCGAACGCUUCUUUUUCCACCGGAGCUUGCUCCACCGGAAAAAGAGGAGUGGCGAACGGGUGAGUAACACGUGGGUAACCUGCCCAUCAGAAGGGGAUAACACUUGGAAACAGGUGCUAAUACCGUAUAACAAUCAAAACCGCAUGGUUUUGAUUUGAAAGGCGCUUUCGGGUGUCGCUGAUGGAUGGACCCGCGGUGCAUUAGCUAGUUGGUGAGGUAACGGCUCACCAAGGCCACGAUGCAUAGCCGACCUGAGAGGGUGAUCGGCCACAUUGGGACUGAGACACGGCCCAAACUCCUACGGGAGGCAGCAGUAGGGAAUCUUCGGCAAUGGACGAAAGUCUGACCGAGCAACGCCGCGUGAGUGAAGAAGGUUUUCGGAUCGUAAAACUCUGUUGUUAGAGAAGAACAAGGAUGAGAGUAACUGUUCAUCCCUUGACGGUAUCUAACCAGAAAGCCACGGCUAACUACGUGCCAGCAGCCGCGGUAAUACGUAGGUGGCAAGCGUUGUCCGGAUUUAUUGGGCGUAAAGCGAGCGCAGGCGGGGUAGUCGAGGAGAGAAUCCUAAGGUGAGCGAGAGAACUCUCGUUAAGGAAAACUGGGAGACUUGAGUGCAGAAGAGGAGAGUGGAAUUCCAUGUGUAGCGGUGAAAUGCGUAGAUAUAUGGAGGAACACCAGUGGCGAAGGCGGCUCUCUGGUCUGUAACUGACGCUGAGGCUCGAAAGCGUGGGGAGCAAACAGGAUUAGAUACCCUGGUAGUCCACGCCGUAAACGAUGAGUGCUAAGUGUUGGAGGGUUUCCGCCCUUCAGUGCUGCAGCUAACGCAUUAAGCACUCCGCCUGGGGAGUACGACCGCAAGGUUGAAACUCAAAGGAAUUGACGGGGGCCCGCACAAGCGGUGGAGCAUGUGGUUUAAUUCGAAGCAACGCGAAGAACCUUACCAGGUCUUGACAUCCUUUGACCACUCUAGAGAUAGAGCUUCCCCUUCGGGGGCAAAGUGACAGGUGGUGCAUGGUUGUCGUCAGCUCGUGUCGUGAGAUGUUGGGUUAAGUCCCGCAACGAGCGCAACCCUUAUUGUUAGUUGCCAUCAUUCAGUUGGGCACUCUAGCAAGACUGCCGGUGACAAACCGGAGGAAGGUGGGGAUGACGUCAAAUCAUCAUGCCCCUUAUGACCUGGGCUACACACGUGCUACAAUGGGAAGUACAACGAGUUGCGAAGUCGCGAGGCUAAGCUAAUCUCUUAAAGCUUCUCUCAGUUCGGAUUGCAGGCUGCAACUCGCCUGCAUGAAGCCGGAAUCGCUAGUAAUCGCGGAUCAGCACGCCGCGGUGAAUACGUUCCCGGGCCUUGUACACACCGCCCGUCACACCACGAGAGUUUGUAACACCCGAAGUCGGUGAGGUAACCUUUUGGAGCCAGCCGCCUAAGGUGGGAUAGAUGAUUGGGGUGAAGUCGUAACAAGGUAGCCGUAUCGGAAGGUGCGGCUGGAUCACCUCCUUU